rnacentral:rRNA from 1 species
UACGAAGGUCCCAAGCGUUAUCCGGAUUUAUUGGGUUUAAAGGGUGCGUAGGUGGGUUGGUAAGUCAGUGGUGAAAUCCCCGAGCUUAACUUGGGAACUGCCAUUGAUACUAUCAGUCUUGAAUACCGUGGAGGUCAGCGGAAUAUGUCAUGUAGCGGUGAAAUGCUUAGAUAUGACAUAGAACACCAAUUGCGAAGGCAGCUGGCUACUCGGAUAUUGACACUGAGGCACGAAAGCGUGGGGAUCAAACAGG